rnacentral:tRNA from 1 species
GCGGGUGUAGCACAGUGGUAGUGCGCUUGCUUGCCAAGCAAGAUAUGGCGGUUCGAUCCCGCUCACCCGCU